rnacentral:rRNA from 1 species
UACGUAGGGGGCAAGCGUUAUCCGGAUUUACUGGGUGUAAAGGGAGCGUAGACGGCGGUGCAAGCCAGAUGUGAAAGCCCGGGGCUCAACCCCGGCCUGCCGUCGGAACUGGGUGCCUUGAGUGGGCGAGAAGUAUGCGGAAUGCGUGGUGUAGCGGUGAAAUGCAUAGAUAUCACGCAGAACUCCGAUUGCGAAGGCAGCAUACCGGCGCCCAACUGACGCUGAAGCACGAAAGCGUGGGUAUCGAACAGG